rnacentral:rRNA from 1 species
GGGUCAGUAGGGUGGUCGUGCCACCGGUACGUACUGGUCUCACUGAUUACUCCUUCCUGAAGAACCGUAAUGCCAUUAAUUUGGUGUUGCGGGGAAACAGGACUGUUACUUCGAAAAAAUUAGAGUGUUUAAAGCAAGCUAACGCUUGAAUACAUUAGCAUGGAAUAAUGAAAUAGGACGAUCGAUCCUAUUUUGUUGGUUUCUAGGAUUGACGUA